rnacentral:hammerhead_ribozyme from 1 species
AUCCAGCUGACGAGUCCAGCAUAGGACGAAACGCGCAUCCUGAAU